rnacentral:rRNA from 1 species
GAAGUAAAAGUCGUAACAAGGUCUCCGUAGGUGAACCUGCGGAGGGAUCAUUACUGAGUGAGGGCCUUCGGGCUCGACCUCCAACCCUUUGUGAACACAACUUGUUGCUUCGGGGGCGACCCUGCCGUUUCGACGGCGAGCGCCCCCGGAGGCCUUCAAACACUGCAUCUUUGCGUCGGAGUUUAAGUAAAUUAAACAAAACUUUCAACAACGGAUCUCUUGGUUCUGGCAUCGAUGAAGAACGCAGCGAAAUGCGAUAAGUAAUGUGAAUUGCAGAAUUCAGUGAAUCAUCGAAUCUUUGAACGCACAUUGCGCCCCUUGGUAUUCCGAGGGGCAUGCCUGUUCGAGCGUCAUUUCACCACUCAAGCCUCGCUUGGUAUUGGGCGCCGCGGUGUUCCGCGCGCCUCAAAGUCUCCGGCUGAGCUGUCCGUCUCUAAGCGUUGUGAUUUCAUUAAUCGCUUCGGAGCGCGGGCGGUCGCGGCCGUUAAAUCUUUCACAAGGUUGACCUCGGAUCAGGUAGGGAUACCCGCUGAACUUAAGCAUAUCAAUAAGCGGAGG